GACCCCAGGUCARGCGGGAUUACCCGCUGAGUUUAAGCAUAUCA
rnacentral:rRNA from 2 species